rnacentral:rRNA from 1 species
AGCGAACGCUGGCGGCAGGCCUAACACAUGCAAGUCGAACGAACUCUUCGGAGUUAGUGGCGGACGGGUGAGUAACACGUGGGAACGUGCCUUUUGGUUCGGAAUAACUCAGGGAAACUUGUGCUAAUACCGAAUGUGCCCUUCGGGGGAAAGAUUUAUCGCCAUUAGAGCGGCCCGCGUCUGAUUAGCUAGUUGGUGAGGUAACGGCUCACCAAGGCGACGAUCAGUAGCUGGUCUGAGAGCAUGACCAGCCACACUGGGACUGAGACACGGCCCAGGCUCCUACGGGAGGCAGCAGUGGGGAAUCUUGCGCAAUGGGCGAAAGCCUGACGCAGCCAUGCCGCGUGAAUGAUGAAGGUCUUAGGAUUGUAAAAUUCUUUCACCGGGGACGAUAAUGACGGAACCCGGAGAAGAAGCCCCGGCUAACUUCGU